rnacentral:rRNA from 1 species
AUUGAACGCUGGCGGCAUGCCUUACACAUGCAAGUCGAACGGUAACGGGCCUUCGGGUGCCGACGAGUGGCGAACGGGUGAGUAAUGUAUCGGAACGUACCUUUCAGUGGGGGAUAACGUAGCGAAAGUUACGCUAAUACCGCAUAUUCUGUGAGCAGGAAAGCAGGGGACCUUCGGGCCUUGCGCUGAUUGAGCGGCCGAUAUCAGAUUAGCUAGUUGGUGAGGUAAAGGCUCACCAAGGCGACGAUCUGUAGCGGGUCUGAGAGGAUGAUCCGCCACACUGGAACUGAGACACGGUCCAGACUCCUACGGGAGGCAGCAGUGGGGAGUUUUGGACAAUGGGGGCAACCCUGAUCCAGCCAUGCCGCGUGAGUGAAGAAGGCCUUCGGGUUGUAAAGCUCUUUCGGCCGGGAAGAAAUCGUAUCAGCUAAUACCUGGUGCGGAUGACGGUACCGGCAUAAGAAGCACCGGCUAACUACGUGCCAGCCGCCGCAGUAUAC